AUUGAACGCUGGCGGCAGGCCUAACACAUGCAAGUCGAACGGUAACAGGAAGAAGCUUGCUUCUUUGCUGACGAGUGGCGGACGGGUGAGUAAUGUCUGGGAAACUGCCUGAUGGAGGGGGAUAACUACUGGAAACGGUAGCUAAUACCGCAUAACGUCGCAAGACCAAAGAGGGGGACCUUCGGGCCUCUUGCCAUCGGAUGUGCCCAGAUGGGAUUAGCUAGUAGGUGGGGUAACGGCUCACCUAGGCGACGAUCCCUAGCUGGUCUGAGAGGAUGACCAGCCACACUGGAACUGAGACACGGUCCAGACUCCUACGGGAGGCAGCAGUGGGGAAUAUUGCACAAUGGGCGCAAGCCUGAUGCAGCCAUGCCGCGUGUAUGAAGAAGGCCUUCGGGUUGUAAAGUACUUUCAGCGGGGAGGAAGGGAGUAAAGUUAAUACCUUUGCUCAUUGACGUUACCCGCAGAAGAAGCACCGGCUAACUCCGUGCC
rnacentral:rRNA from 1 species